rnacentral:lncRNA from 1 species
AUCUAAAUGAUCUAUUUUUAAAAUUGUUUUGUAGCUGUUUGUUUUAGUCUUAGUAGUUUUUGCAUAUUUUUAUUAAGAAAUUUUAUAUCUUUAUUUUCCAUGUGUUUAUUUUUAUUUUUUCUAGUAACUGCAAAAGUUUUUUUUUUUUUAUCUUUUUUUUUUUUAUGUAACUUAUCACCUUAAGUAUUUAUAAGAGUAGUUAGGUAUUUGUGGUAUAUAGCUUAUUCUAGACAUAUAAUUUUUACCAAAAGCUUUUUCUAAUAUUAUUUUUCUUAUAUCUGCUACUUUUAUAUUUCUAAGUGCAUACAAAAUAAGUAUCUUGAAUUUAUCUACCAUCACAUCAGAUAUAUUAUCAUUCAUUUUUCAUAAAUUUGCUUUUUUCAAAAUAUUCCCUUCAAUCACGUACACAACAAAAUAUGGUCAUAUUGGCUUACUAUAUACUAGAUUAUUCUUAAAUAAUAUGUUC